UGACUUGAGGAUGCUGGCAUCAAAGCAC
rnacentral:ncRNA from 2 species